GGAUUAAUGUAAAAAUUUCAAGACUAAAGUAGAAUUUUUUCUACAUUAAAAAAACAUGAAAAUAUAUCGAAGUCAAAAUUUCAAGACUAAUAAUUGAAAUUUCGAGAUUGAAGUCAAAAUUUUGAGAUUAAAGUCGACAUGAAUAAAGUCGAAAUUUCGACUUUAAAUUUCAACUCUAAUCUCAAAAUAGAAAUUUAAAAAAAUAUCCCUCCUGUUAUUAUUUUUCCUCUCUUCUUGUGGCCCUCAUCCUCUUUCGUAUGAAAGGGCCGUGUCCACUGAGUUGUUUUUUUGACCGGCAGCGCCCUUGACCUCAAUCUACUGUUGCUAGGUGACGCAAUUUUUGUUGACAGACGAUAAAAGUCCCGACCCUUCUUGAUCCUGAUAAGUUGGUGGUUAAAACAUGACAACUGGUAUGUUUACACAUACAAAAAAAAGAUUUAUUACCAUAAUGUGACUGAAAAUAGACUUUUAAAAAAAACAUGUAAACACACUGAAAUCGCUCUAAAUCAAACUACCUUUACUCACAUAAUGCAUUUUCUAUGUCAUGUAUCACGUGAAUUUAUUGGAUCAUGAUUGAAAACAUUGUCCCAACAGCAUAGAACUACUGCUACUUUUCACAUUUGCAGAUAUGUAGAUAUUCACCUUUCGACUGUAUGUGUAACAGUAAGACAAGUCUUUAUUUUCUACUUUAACAAAUGACAAAAAACAAGUUUUUCAGCUGCCAGAGGUGGAAUCAGGUAACAUACGAGAUGACCUUGCAUUGCUUCAGGUUGAAAGUGGCAAUCUGAAAGUGUUUACCCAGCUUAGGGAACAAUUACUGUGUAUCUGAGAUGACUGCAGGGUGUUGACUGUGUGAGGAAACACUGAUUCUCCUAUCCAAACACACUUGACUGACAGCAGGUAGAAAAGCUUCGGAGUUUCAGUCUUGCAUCACUCUCCAAACACGCCUGCAAGUUUCAUUACAUUACAGGUUACAGUGGCGUUUCUCAAUCACACACAGGCUGUGCAGUUACACCGCUAUGUCGUCACUGAAAUCAUAAAAUAAACCAGAGGGGAAGGCCAGAGAAAGAGGAAAUGGAGGCCGCUACUACUCCCUUUUACAGAGUGACCCCGUGAGUUAAUUGGCUGACAGAGAACCCAAGACAGCAGGCAAAUACAACUCUUCUAAAAGUGAGGAUGAGACACAUCAUCCUGCCACAUAAAAACUGAGUGAGUACAGCAUGUUUGUUGUGGACAAACUGAUUAAUCCAGGUGUGACUGAUCAUUCUGACUAGUCAAACACACCUGGAUUACUCAGUUUGUCCAAUGAUGUAAGACAGGAAAUAAAGGAGCAGCAUUAUACUCAGGAAGUAGUGGAGCUGUGCAUAGAGCCCAUCGUCCUUUUGCCUUCCCGACCUUUAUAACCCGGUCAACCCACCUGGAGUUUUGAGAUGAAUAAAAGCCUCAAAAUUCUCAUUGUGUUAUAUAAUAAAAUAUCAUUAUAUCAGGUAUUGGCAAAUACUACCAAUGAAGUCAGAAUUCCACAUGAAAAACUUGAGACGGACAAACAAUCAAUCUUGAUUUGUGUAGCACUUUCCAUACAAAACCAUGUAGCACAACGUGUUUUACACAGCAGAGAAAUAAAAAAAAACAAAGAAUACCUGAAUUUCCCCAUCACCUCAUUCCCAACCAGUAAUCUAAGCACAACAGAAACAAGUAUUAAAAUGCAUUAACUUAAAAAGAGCUUGAUAUCGUAGAAACAGUUCGCACUGAGUUUGUGGGAAUUAAAGUCAGAAUGAUGAAAAAAAAAUCAAAAUUAUGACAAAAAAGGCAAAGCUAUGAGAAAAGUCAGAAUUAUGGGAAAAAGGUCAGAACUCUGAGAAAAAAAUGUCAGAAUUGAGAGGAAAUAAUCAGAAUUAUAAGAAAAAAAGACAAAACUCUGAGAAAAAAUGUCCGAAUUAUUAAAAAAAAAAGCCAGAACUAUGAGAAAAAGGUCAGAACUCUGAGAAAAAAGUAAUAAUUAUGAGAAAAAAAAGUCUGAAUUAUGAGAAAAAAGACAAAUCUCUGAGAAAAAAUGUCAGAAACAUGAGAAGAAAAAGUCAGUUAUGAGAAAAGUCAGGAUUAUGAGAAAAAGGUCAGAACUCUGAGACAAAAAGUCAGAAUUCAGAAAAACAGUCAGAAUUAUGAGAAAAAUUCAGAAUUGUGAGAAAAAAAGAAGAAACUCUGAGGAAAAAAUGUCAGAAUUAUGAGAAAAAGUUCAGAAUUAUGAAAAAAAAGUCUGAACUCUGAGAAAAAAAGCCAGAAUUCUGAGUUAAAAGUGUCAGAAUUGUGAGAAAAAGUUUAGAAUUAUGAGAAAAAAGUCAGAACCCAGUUUUUUUUUCUUAGAAUAAUAAUAAAAAUAUAUUCUGGACCUCAUAUUUUUUUCCAGUGACCCUCAUCCUCUUUGGUACUAAAGCGUCUCAGGGGACCAGUAAAAAGUCCCUCUUAUCUUAAAGUAUCUCCUGUGAGGCACAAUCCAGCUAAAAACCGAGGAGCUCUUCUGCUUUUGGUGUCACAUAUGGAACCAUCUUCUCUUUACAUAACAUCUUAUAUCAAUAUCAGUCCCUCCCUGUGUCUCUUUUUCUUUUUGGACCACUGAAAGGAGGAAGACUCAGUCUCACUUCAUAAAACAAUAUUUCCACCGUCUCCAGUUAUUCCCCAAAUAUACGUCUCAUACUGGGACUGUGAGCAUUUCCAAACUAUUUACCAGAUGUCCAAAAGCUUUAGUGAAGUGACCGAAACAGACGUGUAUUAACAGAGAGAGUGCAGAGGUCACUUUAAUGGAAUCAGGACGAGCCUCUGGGGAUGUCUCUGUCACUUUUUCUGGUAUGCUGGUCUUUAUAAAGAAGUCACUUCCCGUUCCCUGAAGUGGUCGAACUUAACGGCCUAAACAUCAUCAUGAACACGAGCAAACUCCUGAAGCACAUUGUGUUUCCAGACUUCUUCUACUGAGAACUUAAACCAGCUCAAACACCUUAAUAAUUAGAUCGAGAGAGACGGGAUUCCCAGGUCUUUAAAGGAACAGUGUCUCUGUUUGGACGUAAAUAACACCACAUUCUUAAAGGGAAAGUGUCAGUCCGCUCUGACGCUGUAAAGCAGCUGUACAGAGCUCUCUGGACUAACUUCAGCCCCUCAGCAGCUGUGUGACGGACAGCCAGGGAAUCCCUAUUUUGUUUCCUCUUCACUUCUAACCCAGCUAAAUGAAUUAUUGAGGCGCCUCUCGCUAAUGAGAUUACGGUUUUACGGACGCUCAUUAAUCUGGAGUGAUUAUGGGACUAGGAAAUGUACCCUGCAGUUAUGGUUAUGAUUUUCCGAUAGCUUUCGCUGUAAAACAUCUGAUGGGAGGUUCCCCGCUUCGGAGCAUAGAUCACACAUGUCGUCACAGCGGGCCUUGUUUUUAAAUGGGACUGGUUUAACAGUACAGUUACAUCAGAUCCUGCCUAUUGGAAAAAGGCGUCCAGGGCUUUAUAAGUAUUGUCCUCCUCGUCACAGAGACAAAGCCGGCUGUAUCCUCCUCUUUCCAAACAUACAGAUGCCUUCUUACCUCAGAAACCCCCUCACAUAUGCUGCCUCAUUCUGCAAUGGUAGAUUUUACCAGUUCAGGACAGGAACAGAAACUCAUGUUUCGCCACAAUGUCAACAGGCAGAAGUGAAAUCAUUUCAAUACAGUAUGAAAAAUCAGGUUGUGAUGGGGUUUUGACCAAUCAGAAUCAAGAGCACAGCCACUAAUCGUGUUGUGUCGUUCAUAAACAGAACUGCCGAGUGAACGACUCCAAGACCUAAUUCGUUCCUUUUUCAGUUUGGUUGAGCUCAGCCGCGAGCGUGUCGUGCUGGUCGGGAGAGGGACUGAUCAGUCAGACUGUGAGCGAAAUGAACGACUUCAGAACGACUUGAGGAGGGCGGGACGUAGCGUCGUUCACGAACCACCCAGCACCAGUUCAUUCGCAGUGGAGGAUUCUGAGUGCCUCCCGAGUGUCCGAGCUCCUUACCCUACCUCUAAGGCUGAGCCCGGUCACCCUGCAAGGGAAACCCAUCUCGACUGCUUGUAUUCGUGAUCUUGUUUUUUUCUCUCUCUCGGUCAUUACCCAAAGUUCAUGACCAUUGGUGAGGGUCGGCACGUAGAUCAACCGGUAAAUCGAGAGUCUCGCCAUACGGUUCAGCUCUUUCUUCACCACGACAGAUCGGUUAAGCGUCUUCAUCACUGCUGACGCCGCUUUGAUACGCUUGUCGAUCUUCCACUCCAUCCUGCCCUCACUUGUGAACAUGAUCCAGAGAUAUUUGAACUCCUCCACUUGAGGCAGGACCUUCCAUCCGACCUGGAGAAGGCAAUCUACCUUUUUCCGACUGAGGACCAUGACCUCGGACUUAGUGGUUAUGACGCCAGAAGUACCCGUCUGAAGUUGAGCUAAGAGGUUUAGAGCUCCCCCUGCUGACUGGCUGCAGAUUAGGUCCUUCCUAUAAUAACCGAGAAGGAAAAGGCCAAACUAAUAGAGACUUGUAGUCGCCUUGACAACUCUAAAUAUGACUGACGAUAGAUAUACAGUAAGUGUAGCAACACAAACAUCCUCUCUGUCUCCAUCUUGAAUCAGCCGGGUUGACCUCAAACAGGAGGACUCUGCAACUCCCUCAAUUACAAGACAAAAAGUCGAACCCCAGGACCUCCUUUCUACCCCAACAGCCCGAACCCCCCCUCUGUCUCUCCACACAGGUGGGCCGUCUGCUGUUUCACAUUGGACAGACACGAAAACCCUGGCAGGCUGCCACCGUUCAGGCCUCCAGCCAAGACCUCCCUCCCUCUCUCUCUCUCUCCUGUCUCCUACGCUCUGAAUCCUCUGUACGCCCUCGCUCACACCGCUCC